GGCUUUUUGGCGGCAGCACUGCGUCAGCGGCGGCGGCGGCGGCAGGGACUUGCAGUGCGUGAGCUGCAUGGUACCAGAGCACCACUGCCCAGGGUGUGCACCUUGAGACGUUCCAAGGCCCCUGCAGGCUUGAUUUCAGUUCGGAGGUCCACAGCUGCAGGAAAAGAAACCCAGCAAGCACCUGGAUGAGGAGCCUUCAUUGAUGUCCACUUGGCUGACAGACGCCCUCCAGGAAUCAACUGCGGACUACCAACUGCUCCAAAAAUGACUCUGCACUCUGGACUGGAGGAAAGCUGAUGUGAACCAGCCCAGCCGAUGUGCUUGCUCCCUGUCUCUUCAGCUGGGUCAUCUAACUGGAUGCCUCUGAUGCAUGUCCCAUCGCCGGAAUCCCUCCCUGCCUUUGACUAACAUUCCAGCCUUCCUAGGCCCUGGCAACAUCCUUGUUUCAGCAGGAAGUAGUUACAGAAGAGAGUUCGUCGCCCCUUUUCCCCAGCUGGCUGGAAUGUUAGAUCAGAAGGACAUUCACUGGCGUGGGGGACAAAAUGGCUACCUAGACUGCCUAUUGGCAUCCUAGGAAAGGUACCUGUUGAACUCAGAGACUCAGAUCUAUCAACAGGUAGAUUCAUUAGCUGAAAUAGUUCUACAGAGUGACGGGGCAUGGGAUCUGUUUUAUGCAGCAGAUGGAGGUGUUGUGUGACUUUAAGAGAAAACUAUUGUUUGUAUACAAAGCACUCAGGGAUCAUCAGAGGUAAUCUGAGGACCCGCAAUGAAGCAAAUGGCUGUUUCCCAGUCUCAUGCUCCUUCUAGUUAGCAACUCGCUCGGCCAUCUCAGGGUCUUUGACCCUGUAUUUCUGCUGAUUACUAUUGGCUCUGGCUCAUCAAUUAAUGCCUUAACUGGAUAAUAAUUUCUGCCUGGGUACCAUUAAGCUGGUGGUUAUUGGAUUCUGAUGUAAACAGGUACCCAUCACAGAGUCAGGGAUUCGACUCAGGAUACAACUCAAGGGGAGAAUGUGAGAGAUAGUUAUACUUAAAAUUUUAAUUAUGGUGCCUUAAGAGACCCACUAAACAAAAAUGCCUCUAUUGUAGACCACCUUCCUGAAAGGCCGGGGGCUGCCAUCUAUGGGAGAUAGCAAGCCACAUGUUCCACACUCCCUAAACAUCUUUGUUUGACACACCACACUGGAUGUGCUUGAUCACAUGUAGUGGGGAGGCACGUGGGCAGGAAAUACAUCAGGACAUAUGUUUGGACCUGAUGGGAAAUGCGGUGGCUUUAUGGGUUUGCCUUUUUAAGCCUAAAUGUGAUGACUUAUUGCCAGUCUCUGGAAACCCGGGAGUGGACCUGGCCAGAGUCUAUCAUCCUGAACAGUAUGUAAAUAAAGCUUGCUUCAUAUUGGUCUCAGAA
rnacentral:lncRNA from 1 species